GGGCGCAUAGCUCAGCUGGUUAGAGCGCUGCGUUGACAUCGCAGAGGUUCAUUGGUUCGAAUCCAAUUGCGCCCA
rnacentral:tRNA from 1 species